rnacentral:lncRNA from 1 species
GGAAUAAAAAAAUUUACUUAUACAUACAAUCUAAAAUAUAAAAGUAUGUUCUGACAUCAUGAGUAAUUAAGAUUGGGUUGCUUCAGCACAGUGAAUGAUAUUUAUACAAGGCAUUCAGGAUGUUGGCUGAAAAACUGUGAAUAUGAAUGAGUAAGCAGCAAUGAGAGCAUCUAGAGAAUGGAGGAAGAGUAAAACAAUUGAAAAACUAUUUUUAAAAUAUAAAAUAUUUGUUGGCCAGGGCCGGCGCAAGCAGGUUCAGCACAUUCGCCAGAACCCGCUCCUGCGUUUUGAGAGGCCCCGUGGUCUAUGAAAAUUACCCAAUUAUAAAACACUGAUUUUGAUUAACUUUUUACAGAAUGAUGAUACCAUUAACAGAUGCAAGACAUUUUUUUAGUAGCAAUGAUUCAGUUUAAAGGAGUGAC